UUCAGUAGUUAAAGUGGAAAUCACUACAGAGUUAUUCAAUUCUUGCAACUUUUGGACAGAAGCAAGGGCUCGAUUCUUCCCCACAUCAUCCUCCGUAAAAACAAAAUUGCUGGACAAGUCCCACAAUUCAACAACUCCCUCAUCGUGCAAGGUCACUGACUUGACCCCAGCAAGAAUCAGAUUCUUUGCAAUUUCCGCGCCGAGACCUUGCAUGCCCGAUACAAGGAUGUUGGAAGCAAAGAGCCGCCGCAUGGUCUCACGGCC
rnacentral:misc_RNA from 1 species